UCCGCACAACUACAAGGGUGGUACUGAAAGAUUCAAUUCCUGUGGAGCUUAUGCAACACAGCUGCACGUGUUGCUGGAGCAGCAUUAUGCAACCACUGCGUUGCUUUGCUGUUCCAGUCAGCACACUACUCUGAACUGAAUGUGCCAGUUGUGCCUCCUGUGCAAAGCUGUACUGAAGGGGAACAGCAGUGGCACAAGCCAAGAACUUUGGUAAGUUUGCACUAUAAUUAUAGACCUGUUGGCUAUAUUUUCUAACUACUUUUAACUGUAUCCAGAAUAACUUGAUAGGGUAUAAAGCCAGGCCCUGUGGAAAAGAUGGCUGGCUGUCGGCUAAACCAAAUGUAAGUGUAAAGUGCAACAACCGAGGGUGUAAGGUAAAGGCUGAAUAUUGUAGAUUUAUAACAAUAUGUUGCAUGUUUGAAUUAAAAUACCUGUGGAUAUGCCACUUCCCACUCAUUAAAGUUUUAUGUUCUACAAAGGAGCAAACUCUACAAAGGCCUGACUGGAGAUUUGCCUGAUCUAUCCCUCCUUCAGGUGAGUAGGGAUAUAACAAUAUCAAAUUUCACUGUACAGUAUGAUAUAUCAACCAAAAUCUGUAUACCAAUAUUUCAUUAUUUUCUUUUUCCUCCCCUUUUACAAACAAAUAUUCUGCUUCAAAGAAAGAAAAUGAAAUUGAAUUGAUGUUCUCAUAAGGGUCCUUUAUUAUGAACUUGUAUGCCAUGCAUAACAUACUGUGGAUAGCAAUUACAGGGAAAGGUACUGGUAUGAUAAUUGUGGUUAUAUUAUAUUACUAUUAUAUUUAGUGUAUUGCUAAUCAAUAUAUUGUUACUUCCCAGGUGACAGCAGCUCACUUGAAGAGCAGGUGAAGCAAGUUGGGACAAUCUGGGCAAUCAGGCACAACUUGCAAACAACACCUUUGGUUGUUGGUUUAAUUCCCACUGGGGCCACCUGUACAUGUAGUAGACCUAGAUAUAAAUGUAAUUGUUUAGUAGUUGAGGGACCAGGACUGACUACUUUAUUCUUUUAUUCUGGGAACCCCUGUAGGUGCAGAUCAGAUCCUAAUGCUGCAACGUCUUGGAGAGUUUGGCGAUGUUGUGCGUAGCAUGGACAACAAAAUGGACACUAUGCUGCAACAUUUCAGUGCCAAUGUGUCUGUUGGAGAGUUAUCCCUGCCAGGGGAUCUGUUACUUCCCCUAGACACCCAGGAAGAUUUGGCGUUGCUUGACAACAGUUUGAGGCAGGAUAAAAGAGCUCCAGCAACGAUUUCUUCGGUUUUUGGCAAUCAAAUGUGGGAGGGACCUAAAGACAACCGUGUGGCGAAUGCGUCAGAGUAUCUUCUCUAAUCACCUUUCCAUCAAUACAACCUGGACUGGUGUAGGGGAUAAAGCAUGUUUUAGAGACAUGUUCCUGAAGACCAUUGUUCAAAGAGCCAUCCGGAAGAACCCGGCAACCCAAGAUGCCACUGAUGAGGCGAUCCAGGUUAACGUUACGCUUUACCUGAAAGGAGCAUCUGACCGUGAAGGUGGAAAAAGGUGCCGCACAGCUGAGAGGGACCCACAGCUGACCCCUUAAACCUAGGCUGACUACUGACACCCCAGCAUCACUGACAACUGGAACCCUUUCUUUAUUCUGCAGUCAGUAACAUCAAGACCCCUAAAAAAGCGUCAGACUACACUCACCCAAUCCACACUCUUCACUGUGGAAAUUGCUCUUUUUUUUUUCUUUCUUUUUUUUUCUCGUGACCCUGCCUUGAGGGCAGCUCCUUGGAUGAAUAUGGGAUGGUUUGUCCUUUUAUACAGGCGCACGAGGAAUCGCUGAAGAUAUGCCAAUUUGCACUGCCUCAUUCUGGAGGUCGGGGAAAACCGGUGAUUCUUAGCCCGCUACGCCACACAGACCCCAACCACUCCAGACAUUCUGAUUGGCUGUGUUCUCUACAGCCAGAUUUUCUGCUGUUAAUUAUAUUUAUUCCCACUUGUUGUCAUGUGUAAGUUGAAUGUCAAAAUGUAUAUUAUACCUGUUAUCCUGCACAUUCCUUGAUACCAAAGAUCUCAAUUAUUUCAUAUGCAAUUUGCUGCUUAUUUCAUUGUUACAGUGCUUAACUAUUCUAUUUUUAAAUAUAGCUUGUAAAUCCUAGAUUAUACAUCUAAUACUUGAUAUUUGCACAUUAUCUGGUAUCAAAUAUUCUACUUACCGUGACUUUAUUAUUGGCUUAUUUCAUUCCGUCAGUGCUUAACGAUUCUAUUAUAGUUUGUAAAUCCUAUUUCAUGCCUGAUAUUUGAUAUUGCACAUUAACUAGUACCAAAAAUUCUACUUUCAUUCCGUCACAGUGCUUAACUGUUAUUCUAUUGUUAAAUAUAGCUUGUAAAUCCUUGUGCCACAGGUCAGCAUUGCAGUUAUAAUGGUAUAUUCUACUCCAGAGCUUUACUCUAAAUUAUUACCACUUAACCUAUUGUUAGAAAUGACUUGUAAAUAUGAUGUUAUACCUCAAUUUAUUUGGUAUCCUGCACUUUAUUUGGUACCAAAUAUCCUCAUUGCUUAUGUUUACUGGUAAUUCUUUUCAUCCCAGAGCUGACCUCUUUAUAUUAUUAACAAUUAUUGUAAGUGUUUCAAUAGUGUUUUUUUUUUAACCAAACUUUAAUUGGAAACUUGCAUGUUCUUUAGUGUGUGUGUGUGUGUGUGUGUGUGUGUGUAUAUAUAUGUUUGUAUUUUUCUGUUAUUUAUAUUUCAGUGAUCUGACAUUGUGUUUCAAUGAGUUACUGUACUUUGAAAUGUGGAAUUAAAACGCCAAAUGGAAAUUUGUCUGGUUUGAUCAAUGAUUAUUCUUGAUAAACUGCAUGCUAUAUAUAUAUAUAUAUGUGUGUGUGUAUAUAUAUAAUGUGUGUGUGUGUGUAUAUAUAUGUUUGUAUUUUUCUGUUAUUUAUAUUUCAGUGAUCUGACAUUGUGUUUCAAUGAGUUACUGUACUUUGAAAUGUGGAAUUAAAAGCGCCAAAUGGAAAUUUGUCUGGUUUGAUCAAUGAUUAUUCUUGAUAAACUGCAUGCUAUAUAUAUAUAUAUAUGUGUGUGUGUAUAUAUAUAAUGUGU